rnacentral:rRNA from 1 species
UACGUAGGGUCCAAGCGUUAAUCGGAAUUACUGGGCGUAAAGGCGUGCGCAGGCGGUGAUGUAAGACAGUUGUGAAAUCCCCGGGCUCAACCUGGGAACUGCAUCUGUGACUGCAUCGCUGGAGUGCGGCAGAGGGGGAUGGAAUUCCGCGUGUAGCAGUGAAAUGCGUAGAUAUGCGGAGGAACACCGAUGGCGAAGGCAAUCCCCUGGGCCUGCACUGACGCUCAUGCACGAAAGCGUGGGGAGCAAACAG